CUUUCUCCUCCGUCGCUCUCGUCUUCGACCCUAAUCUUUUCCCCCAGCCGCCUUUUCAAGCUCCUCAUCCCCUCCACUACCUCGACAACGGUGGCGGCGGCCCCCUCUGCUGGCGAAGGAGGAGGGGGGAGAUGGUGGCGCGGCGGCGACCUUCCCCUCACGCAUCCCAUCCCCCCUCGUCAUCCCGGAUCCCACCGGACCCGAGGCGUGCGGGCGCGGCGGCGAUCUGCAAGGGAAGGGCGACGGUCGAAUCGAUCCAGUGGAUCCUAGACCCCCCCCCCCCCCCCCCCCCCCCCAAUCCCCUGUCCGCCCCUCUCUCCUCGCGCAUCCUCUUUCCUCUCCACAUCUGGCCGGAGGAGAACGCGGCGGCGGUGGCAUCUCCUGGCGACGGCAGUGGGGGCGGGCGAGGUUGCAAGGUGACGGCCCGAGGUGGCGGUGGAGGACCUGCUCUUUGGGUCGAGGUGGGGCUCGCGAGGCUUCAAGGCGACGGGCCGAAACAAGGGUGCAAGGAUCCGGUUGGUCUAUUGUUACUGCUGGCGAUGGACGGAGGAGGUGCUCUCGGAUCGAGGUGGCAGCGCCGUCGGUGAUGCUAAGGGAGAAGGAAUGGGCAAGCGAGGCCAGCAGGGGAAGGAAUUGGGUGUGGCAUCACACGCUGGCUUGUUGCUUGCACCUGAAGAAGACAGAUACCAGCAGCCGAUGGACACCAUCUGGUGUUGGUUACAGUAGGCUCUGAGGCAGGAUGUGAUUCUUAUCUUUAAAGAGUGGCAAGCUCGAGUUGUGAAUCUGCUGCUAUACAUUGUCUGAGGAAAGCAAUAGGCAUACACAUGACAUUCAGCAAUCUCUCGGAUGUAAGGCCAAUGAGAUUUGCAGGCUUCAUGCAGUAACACUCUAAAUAGGUGUGUUAUGCUGGAGCAGGAGGCUGGAAUGAAUAUAGUACCAUGGAAGGUAGAAAGGCUAAGACAAAGAAUGAUUUUAGUGGGAGGUUCAACCUGGGAGAGGUGCGCUGAACUACUCAAGAAAAGAGUAGACUCACAUCAUUGGCCGAUGCAUAUUCUACGACAUGAAAAACACCUCAAGGAAUUGUUGUUUCCAAGGUGGGCUGAGUUUAGGGACGGCAGCAGUUCUACCACCGAUGGUGUUGCAUGUAAGCUGGAUGUUCUCAUUGUUCUGUUGGCCCUGAUCGGCCUCUUCUACACUAGAAAAGGAAAACACUCAACGAUCUGGCUCUGUCUCGGGUAUGUGCUCCCUUGCCCGCAAGAUCUGCUCUCUCCCAUUUACGCAUCGCGGCAGCACUUCAUCUCCUCUUGUGGAUUCUCACCAGAUCAGGCCACCUCACUCACCUUCAGGACCUCGCCGGCAGAUCCCUCAGCUAUCAAGGAAGGCAGCCAUCAGCGGAGAUUGAGGGUGCCUCUCUGGCGAGAGUGCACGUGUCCGGGUGGUUUCCCAUCAGCAGCGUGGGUGAGGCGGUGUCUUCUGCAGCUAGGUCUACUUGCUGGCUACCUCACCAUCACCAGCCCAUCUCUGCAGAUGAGGAUGUACGAAGGAUUUGGCCGUGAACUCAAUCAGACCAUUGGAUUGAAGCUAAAGGGGGCAUUGCAAAGAUAUGAAGGAAUGGCCUUUCGUUCAGAACCUGGUCAGCUACAUAACUUCUGGUCGUACAUGUUUCUGUUGCAGCGGCCCAGUCACGCGGAGAAGAAUGGCAGACGCUGAGAAUUGUGUCAGCUGAUUUUCUAAUUCAUGUUCAGCUCAUGGAUUCUCAUUUAUCUCUUCCAUUUACACAACGAGCGGCCUUCUUAUGAACAAGCAAAUAUCUGCCUCGGCCUUCUCUUUUAUCCUGCGGCACCCACCAAAUCGUAUCCUAUGUUUGCCGGGUUCGUCUUCUCACUCUAUGCCGGGAGCUCUUCUCUGCGUUGACUGAUUCUGCAGGCGCAUAGAUCCAUGUCAUUCCAAGUUACAACAAUGAUCUUUCUACUCAUGAGUAUCUUCUUUAAACUGAUGAAUUUUGAUGCAUACUGUGUGCAGAAAAUAAGGCCUCUAACAAAAGUACAAUCAGGAACUUGGCAUAAGCUAUACGUAUGCAAAUAGAGGUUCAGACACAGCUCCAUGAACACCUUAUAGAUGCAUGAUGCUCUGACAAGCGGAAACAUCAGGACUACAGACAGAUAGAAGAAGCUUUUAUCAAAGUCUCCCCUUUCUGACAAUUGAGAGAAUUUUUAUGCAAGAUAAAUUUAACUCUGUUCUUGGUCAUGAAUCUUUACGUGUCUGUGCUCAACUGAAUCGUGUUUCCUUGGUGUGAUCUCUCCCAGAGCAAGAAGUAGUAUAACCGGCGGGAAAUGCUAGACUUUUUUGCUAUGUACCAUCAAGAUAGUAUGGCUUAUCAUUUUAAAUAGCAAUGCCUAAUGAGUGCUGAUCAUAUUAGUCCUUAA